UACAGAGGUCUCAAGCGUUGUUCGGAUUCAUUGGGCGUAAAGGGUGCGUAGGCGGCGCGGUAAGUCGGAUGUGAAAUCUCGGAGCUUAACUUCGAAACUGCAUUCGAUACUGCCGUGCUUGAGGACUGGAGAGGAGACUGGAAUUUACGGUGUAGCGGUGAAAUGCGUAGAUAUCGUAAGGAAGACCAGUGGCGAAGGCGGGUCUCUGGACAGUUCCUGACACUGAGGCACGAAGGCCAGGGAGCAAACGGG
rnacentral:rRNA from 1 species